GGGGUCCCGCAGCGCUCUCCCCGCCGGGGUCCCGGGCUCGGAGCGCGGCAGGGUCGCGGCGGGGCUCGCUCGGUGCCGGUGUCGGGCGGGGCGCGGCACCGCGGGAUGUGAGCGGCGCGGCCGGGCGGGGACAGGGGCAGCCACAGGCACAGGGGCGGGCGGUGCGGGCGGCGCCGGUGGCCCCGGUGGCCCCGGGCCCGGCAUGCCGCGCUGCCGGAACUGCCGCCCGCCGCGCAGCUCGGGGCCGCGGGCCGCCCGCGGGCGCUGCCCCCGCCGCUCGGGGCCGCAGCCGGCGGGGGGCCCGGGGAUGGCGCGGCGCUGCUCGCCCUGAGCCCGGCCCGGAGCGGGACGAGCGGCGGCAGCGGCAGGAGGAGGAGGAGGUGGAGGAGGAGGGGAGCGCCCAUGGCGCGGGGGCGCCGGGCGCCGGCGCUGCGCACUCGGCUGCACGGGCUGCGCCUCAUGUGCUCGGCGCGGGCGGCGCCGGCGCGCCGGGCGCUCUGGGUGCUCGCCUUCUGCACGGCGCUGGGGCUGCUGCUGGCCUGGUCCUCCGACCGCCUGCUGCACUGGCUCGCCUUCCCCUCGCACACCCGCGUGCGCACCGAGUGGAGCCGCCAGCUGCCCUUCCCCGCCGUCACGCUGUGCAACAACAACCCGCUGCGCUUCCCGCGCCUCUCCAAGGGCGACCUGUACUACGCGGGGCACUGGCUGGGGCUGCUGCUGCCCAACCGCACGGCGCGGCCGCUGCUCACCGAGCUGCUGCGCGCCGACGAGGCGCGGCUGCGCUGGUUCGCCAAACUGGCCGAUUUCCGCCUCUUUCUGCCGCCCCGACACUACGAGGGCAUCAGCGCCGACUUCAUGGACCGCCUGGGCCACCAGCUGGAGGACAUGCUGCUGUCCUGCAAGUACCGCGGCGAGCUCUGCGGCCCGCACAACUUCUCCGCGGUGUUUACAAAGUAUGGGAAAUGCUACAUGUUUAACUCAGGAGAGGAGGGGCGGCCUCUCCUCACCACGGUGAAGGGGGGGACAGGGAAUGGCCUGGAAAUCAUGCUGGACAUUCAGCAGGACGAGUAUCUGCCCAUCUGGGGAGAAACAGAGGAGACGACGUUCGAGGCUGGAGUCAAAGUGCAGAUCCACAGCCAGUCGGAGCCGCCCUUCGUGCAGGAGCUCGGAUUUGGGGUGGCCCCCGGGUUCCAGACAUUCGUGGCCACCCAGGAGCAAAGGCUGACGUACCUGCCCCCGCCCUGGGGCGAGUGCCGCUCCCCGGAGCUGGGCCUGGCGUUCUUCCCGGUGUACAGCGUGACAGCCUGCAGGAUCGACUGCGAGACCCGCUACAUCGUGGAGAACUGCAACUGCAGGAUGGUGCACAUGCCAGGGGACGCUCCCUUCUGCACCCCGGAGCAGUACAAGGAGUGUGCAGAGCCUGCACUCAGUCUCCUGGCAGAGAAGGACAGCAGCUACUGCAUCUGCAGGACCCCCUGUAACCUCACCAGGUACAACAAGGAGCUCUCCAUGGUCAAGAUCCCCAGCAAGACCUCGGCCAAGUACCUGGAGAAGAAGUUCAACAAGUCAGAAAAAUACAUCUCAGAGAAUAUUCUCGUGCUGGACAUUUUUUUUGAAGCACUCAACUAUGAGACCAUAGAGCAGAAGAAAGCCUAUGAAGUUGCAGCCUUACUUGGUGACAUUGGUGGCCAGAUGGGGCUGUUCAUCGGGGCCAGCAUCCUCACCAUCCUCGAGCUCUUCGACUACCUGUACGAGCUGAUCAAGGAAAAAUUAUUGGACCUUCUUGGAAAAGAGGAAGAGGACGGGAGCCAUGAUGAGAACGUGAGCACCUGUGAUCCAGUGCCAAACCACUCGGAGAGCCUGAGCCACACUGUGACCGUGCCCCUGCAGGCGCCGCUGGGGACGCUGGAGGAAAUCGCCUGCUGACCCCUCCCACCACAGUGCCCACCCCGAGGAAGGAAAACUGCACAGGGAAAACAGGGACCCAGCUCAGUCCCUGGGUUUCAGUGCCAGAAGGAGCAUCCCAGAAUUCUCCAUUCCUGAGAGUUUUAGAAUAAAAGAUCCAAAAGCCGCCGCUGUCGGAUUCUUCUCCCGGUGAGGUCGGGCUGAGUCCCGAGCUCAGCCCAAGGUGAGCAAACCUGGGGAGGAGCCCCAGGGCUCCCCAUGGAUCAUCCUGCAGAGCCUGGAGAGCCCAGCAGCAGAGGGAGGGGUUGGGUUCAUUCAUUUCUUUUUUCAUUUUGGGUUGGAGAUUUUGGAAUUUCCUUCUUCUCCCAUUCAUGGAUUCUGUGCUUUCUCCUCGUUCUCCUGACUGAUAUUAAAGCUGGUCUUGUGGAAAUGGCC